rnacentral:rRNA from 1 species
GACGAACCGUGCGAACGUUAUUCGGAAUCACUGGGCUUAAAGCGCGUGUAGGCGGGCCGCCGCGUCGGCUGCUGAAAUCCCCCGGCUCAACCGGGGAACGGGCACCGAAACGGGCGGCCUGGAGGGGGGUAGGGGGGCCUGGAACUUCCGGUGGAGCGGUGAAAUGCGUUGAGAUCGGAAGGAACGCCCGUGGCGAAAGCGAGGCCCUGGACCCUUACUGACGCUGAGACGCGAAAGCCAGGGGAGCGAACGGA